AGACGAGGGGUCCAAGCGUUGUUCGGAAUUAUUGGGCCUAAAGCAUCCGUAGCCGGCUCUGUAAGUUUUCGGUUAAAUCUGUACGCUUAACGUACAGGCUGCCGGAAAUACUGCAGAGCUAGGGAGCGGGAGAGGUAGACGGUACUCGGGAGGAAGUGGUAAAAUGCUUUGAUCUCUCGAUGACCACCUGUGGCGAAGGCGGUCUACCAGAACACGUCCGACGGUGAGGGAUGAAAGCUGGGGGAGCAAACCGGAUUAGAUACCCGGGUAGUCC
rnacentral:rRNA from 1 species